UAGCUAUGGAUACGUGCGCGAGAUUCCAGCACGUACGUGAGGCAGAACCAAUUUGUCAAUUUCAUGCCAUAAUUUUUUAUUGUGGUUGUUUUAUUGUGGUUGUACACUGUGAAAUAUACACACACCAAACAAGCAGUGUAUUUUCAACUUUGUCACCUAAAUUGCAGAAUUUGAAGAAUAAAAAAAAUAGACACCCUAAAUUAUGGCUAAAUAUUCCACAAAGAUGUAUAAUAUACUAUGUAAGAUCGUCUAGAUUGUCAGUUACAGAAUAAAUAAAUGACCUGUUCAGUUACAGCUAAGGUCACUGCUCCUUUAACUGCUUUAAAUAAGACUCUCUUACUUCCUUGUUUGACUUGUCGUCUCUUUCCCUUGUCUCAGUACCACGUUCCCUCCAGUCUAUAGUAGUGUAUGCUGUGUGUCGUGUGUGUACAAAUCUCCUGUUAAUACUUCUUUAUGUUCAGGAUGAAUGUUUUUCCCCACCAGGUUUAAUAACCCAGUCUCUCACACUGCAGGGUCAAUAUACAAGUAUAUUAAUAAAACUUUUACUCACUUCUGCUUUUCUCUUUCACUUACAUAAAAAAAUCCCUCCAAAAAAUGGUGACGUCACAAUAAGAGCAAGCAGCAUGUUCCUGCUGGGGUUCAGUCUGCUGUAGAGUCUGGAUUUUUGAAGACAACAUAAAGCUCAAGAUGUAUGUAAGUGCAGGGCUCCAGACUGCGCCUAAUAUAGGCGCAUUUGCGACUAAAAAUAUUAAUUUGCGACAAUGGCGACCAAUCAAAUUUACACGUUAUGAUUAUAUAAUUUUUACCUUAUGUGUGUGUUCUGUGAACAGUAGCCUAUCAUAUAAUUUGUGUUGACGUAAUAAAAUGAGAUGCUGCGCGUGAACAUUUCACUGAGUUAGUCACCUUUCCGAGCCAGAAAAACUGUCAAAACGAAAAAAUAUACGAGUUUUUUAAACAAUCCUCAUCGAGCACCAACGCUGAUGACACACCUGCUUGUAAAAAAGCAGGCUCCAGCUGUGCCACCAGCUGCUGGAGAGAACGACACAGACACAGGAGAUCAUCUUUCCGUGUCAGUCAAUGAGCAUCGUGCCGAAAGACAUUUCAAAGCUUCUUGGAUUCAAGAGUUUUCAUGGCUGAGGUAUGAUCGUGAAACACGGAAAAUGUUUUGUGACUUUUGUUCCAGAGCGGGCAAAGAAAUAGCAGGGAAAACGGAUUUCAUUACAGGAACUAACCAUUUCAAAAAAGAGACCGUGAGAAAACACGGCGAUGGUCACAAGCAUAAAAAUGCUCAUGAUCACUUCCGCUCAACUCACUGAGCCGUAACAACGAGGUAACAGGCUGAAGUUUCUGUCCCUCAAUACGGACAUUUAAACUCUGAGUAAUAUUUAAACAUCUGACUGGAUUCUCCAUAUCUAUUAUUCCAUUUACACUGAGUUAUUUAUAUAGUAUCAUGUGUAUGUUUCCAGGCUGAUCUGCUCUUCCUGUCUGAGAUUCAAGUGUUGCAUGAUAUUUCUGCUCUGCACUUGACUAAGGACCAGGCUCCUGAUCUCUUCUCCCUGGAGCUUGCCGGUAUGGAGGAACUCUCCCAGCGCUACGGGACGCUCGUGAGAUUCUGGUUGCCGCACUGCAGAAGUUUGCUGAUGACGUCUACGGCGUUUAUGGCAGCAAUGCAGUGGUGGAGGUGGUGACGGUGAAGACGUUCGAGACGCCGCUGAGCAGGAAGACGCGCUCCAUCCUGGAGGCUAAGCAGAUGAAAAAAAAUCCCUCC